GCACUGCUGACGAGUGCCAAACAAGAUGAAACAGCUGUCCAGUGC
rfam:Echinostoma caproni strain Egypt genome assembly, scaffold: ECPE_scaffold0033237